rnacentral:lncRNA from 13 species
ACAAUAAACAGGAUGUAAUGUUAUUGACAACAAUAAACAGGAUGUAAUGUUAUUGACAACAAUAAACAGGAUGUAAUGUUAUUGACAACAAUAAACAGGAUGUAAUGUUAUUGACAACAAUAAACAGGAUGUAAUGUUAUUGACAACAAUAAACAGGAUGUAAUGUUAUUGAACAAUACACAGGAUGUAAUGUUAUUGACAACAAUAAACAGGAUGUAAUGUUAUUGACAACAAUAAACAGGAUGUAAUGUUAUUGAACAAUAAACAGGAUGUAAUGUUAUUGAACAAUAAACAGGAUGUAAUGUUAUUGACAACAAUAAACAGGAUGUAAUGUUAUUGACAACAAUAAACAGGAUGUAAUGUUAUUGACAACAAUAAACAGGAUGUAAUGUUAUUGACAACAAU